CAGUCGCCGCGGUAAUACGAAGGGGGCUAGCGUUGUUCGGAUUUACUGGGCGUAAAGCGCACGUAGGCGGAUCGAUCAGUCAGGGGUGAAAUCCCAGAGCUCAACUCUGGAACUGCCUUUGAUACUGUCGAUCUGGAGUAUGGAAGAGGUGAGUGGAAUUCCGAGUGUAGAGGUGAAAUUCGUAGAUAUUCGGAGGAACACCAGUGGCGAAGGCGGCUCACUGGUCCAUUACUGACGCUGAGGUGCGAAAGCGUGGGGAGGAAACAGGAUUAGAUACCCCUGUAGUCCCUGUCUCUUAUAC
rnacentral:rRNA from 1 species